rnacentral:rRNA from 1 species
GGGGCUGUGUGCUCUGAUGCAAUCAUUGGGUUAGAUCUGCUCUCUUCGCAAGAAGAGGGUUUCCAUAUACACCGUGAACUGUGGCUUCGGCCAUCACAAACUGUUAGUAAUGAAUGUAAUAUCAUAACAAAAACAAAACUUUUAACAACGGAUCUCUUGGCUCUCGCAUCGAUGAAGAACGCAGCGAAAUGCGAUAAGUAAUGUGAAUUGCAGAAUUCAGUGAAUCAUCGAAUCUUUGAACGCACCUUGCGCCCUUUGGUAUUCCGAAGGGCAUGCCUGUUUGAGUGUCAUGAAACCUCACCCCACUUGGGUUUUUGCCUGAGCGGUGGUGUAUUGGGUGUUGCCUUGCUAAAGGCUCGCCUUAAAGACAUAAGCACCUUGGAUGUAAUACGUUUCAUCCUUCUGGGUGGCUGAUAACCCCACAUAUUCAUGAUCUGGCCUCAAAUCAGGUAGGGCUACCCGCUGAACUUAAGCAUAUCAAA